rnacentral:rRNA from 1 species
CCUACGGGAGGCAGCAGUAGGGAAUCUUUCACAAUGGGCGAAAGCCUGAUGGAGCAACGCCGCGUGCAGGAUGAAGGCCUUCGGGUUGUACACUGCUUUUAUAAGCGAGAAAUAUGAUGGUAACUUAUGAAUAAGGAUCGGCUAACUACGUGCCAGCAGCCGUGGUCAUACGUAGGAUCCGAGCAUUAUCCGGAGUGACUGGGUGUAAAGAGUUGCGUAGGUGGCAUAAUAAGUAGCUAGUGAAAUCUGGUGGCUCAACCAUUCAGACUAUUAGCUAAACUGUUAAGCUCGAGACCGUUAGGGGUAACUGGAAUUUCUAGUGUAGGAGUGAAAUCCGUAGAUAUUAGAAGGAACACCAAUAGCGUAGGCAGGUUGCUGGGACGGUUCUGACACUAAGGCACGAAAGCGUAGGGAGCAAACGGGAUUAGAUACCCCUGUAGUC